rnacentral:rRNA from 1 species
AAACUAACAAGGAUUCCCCUAGUAACGGCGAGCGAAGCGGGAAGAGCUCAAAUUUGAAAUCUGGCGUCUUCGACGUCCGAGUUGUAAUCUCGAGACGUGUUUUCCGUGCGGCUCUAUGGACAAGUCCCUUGGAACAGGGCAUCGUAGAGGGUGAAAAUCCCGUACUUGCCAUGGAAGUACCGUGCUUUGUGAUACACGCUCCAAGAGUCGAGUAGUUUGGGAUUGCUGCUCAAAGUGGGUGGUAGACUCCAUCUAAAGCUAAAUAUCGGGGAGAGACCGAUAGCGAACAAGUACCGUGAGGGAAAGAUGAAAAGCACUUUGGAAAGAGAGUUAAAAGUACGUGAAAUUGUCGAAAGGGAAGCACUUGAAGUCAGCCAUGCUGCUUGAGACUCAGCCUGGCUUUUGCUUGGUGUAUUUCUCGGUAGCAAGCCAGCAUUGGUUUGUGUCGUCGGAGAAGCGUAUGGGGAGUGUGGCAUCCUCGGAUGUGUUAUAGCCCUGUGCAGGAUACGACGACGUAGACCAAGGAACGCAGUGUGCCCUCUGGGCGGGUCUUCGGACACCUUCACACUUAGGAUGCUGGCGUAAUGGCUUUAAGUGGC